GCUGGCGGCAUGCUUAACACAUGCAAGUCGAACGGUAACAGCGGGAGCUUGCUCCCGGCUGACGAGUGGCGGACGGGUGAGUAACGCAUAGGAAUCUGCCCAAUAGUGGGGGACAACCUGGGGAAACUCAGGCUAAUACCGCAUACGCCCUACGGGGGAAAGGCUUCGGCCGCUAAUGGAUGAGCCUAUGUCUGAUUAGCUUGUUGGUAGGGUAACGGCCUACCAAGGCAACGAUCAGUAGCUGGUCUGAGAGGACGAUCAGCCACACUGGGACUGAGACACGGCCCAGACUCCUACGGGAGGCAGCAGUGGGGAAUAUUGCACAAUGGGCGAAAGCCUGAUGCAGCAAUGCCGCGUGUGUGAAGAAGGCCUGCGGGUUGUAAAGCACUUUCAGUAGGGAGGAUUAUGACGUUACCUACAGAAGAAGCACCGGCUAACUCUGUGCCAGCAGCCGCGGUAAUACAGAGGGUGCGAGCGUUAAUCGGAAUUAC
rnacentral:rRNA from 1 species